AUGCCAGAUCAUUCCAAUGUUAGAGGGAAAAGCCUUCUGAUUAUUUUGUGGUGAAAAAAAGAUUGAGAGCCUCAGAGUUCAUCUUAAUGUUCCCAGAGAGAGUAUAUAAAACACAGAUGGCAAACUCCAAGUCAAGAUGAGGGAUAGUGAGGUCUGCUAGCUGGGUGAUGUGUCCUAGCUAGAAGGUGGACUGUCAUUCAUUAGUGAUAUUGCACAUCCUGAACCUGGGGACCUUCCCCACCCAGAAACCAGACUUCGAACACUUUGGACAAGACAUGAUACAGAUUUUGUUUCAGAAUGCAUCCACCUGUGUUUG
rnacentral:lncRNA from 1 species